rfam:Medicago truncatula strain A17 chromosome 5, whole genome shotgun sequence.
UCACUCACCUGGAUGGGGUCAAUAGGUGAUCAAGAAGGCUCAUAGCCUAAGACAAUGACCUCCAUUGCACUUUGGAGGGGUGCUGGCCUAAGGUCUACUCAAGUGGUGGAGCCUACAUCAUAAUUUGUUGCACGCAAGUCCCUUCC